rnacentral:misc_RNA from 1 species
GAUGAAGAACGUAGCGAAAUGCGAUAAGUAGUGCGAAUUGCAGAAUUCAGUGAAUCAUCGAAUCUUUGAACGCACAUUGCGCCCCUUGGUAUUCCAUGGGGCAUGCCUGUUCGAGCGUCAUUUGUACCUUCAAGCUCUGCUUGGUGUUGGGUGUUUGUCUCGCCUCUGCGCGUAGACUCGCCUCAAAACAAUUGGCAGCCGGCGUAUUGAUUUCGGAGCGCAGUACAUCUCGCGCCUUGCACUCAUAACGACGACGUCCAAAAGUACAUUUUUACACUCUUGACCUCGGAUCAGGUAGGGAUACCCGCUGAACUUAAGCAUAUCAAUAAGCGGAGGA